rnacentral:tRNA from 1 species
GGUUGUAUAGUGUAGUGGUCAUCACAUCGGAUUUUGAUUUUCCGGGAACCCCAGUUCGAUCCCGGGUACGACCU